rfam:Microgenomates (Woesebacteria) bacterium GW2011_GWB1_33_22 TR35_C0006, whole genome shotgun sequence.
UCCCUCGUAGCUCAACGGUAGAGCGCUUCGCUGUUAACGAAGAUGUUAGAUGUUCGAAUCAUCUCGAGGGAG